UACGAAGGGGGCUAGCGUUGCUCGGAUUGACUGGGCGUAAAGGGCGCGUAGGCGGUUUGUACAGUUGGGCGUGAAAUUCCUGGGCUUAACCUGGGGGCUGCGUUCAAUACGUGCAGGCUUGAGUUCGGAAGAGGGUCGUGGAAUUCCCAGUGUAGAGGUGAAAUUCGUAGAUAUUCGCAAGAACACCAGUGGCGAAGGCGGCUCACUGGCCCGAUACUGACGCUGAGGUGCGAAAGCGUGGGGAGCAAACAGG
rnacentral:rRNA from 1 species